UCAAGCAUUAUGUAAGGAAGAUUUUCCAACCUCACCUCCAAGCAGGUGGACAGUGAACGUUCAAUCCAUAAUGACAAUCACUUAAAGAAAAGGAUUCUUGCCCUUCCACAAAGAUGCAGCUUUGUCAGCACACAGAAGGGACUGCAUCUGAAGCACAGCAAAAAGUGAGCAACCCGUUUCCAAGUAAAGCAAAAGGGAGAAACAGUCUGCUGAAAGAGCUGCUUUCACAAGAUGUUCAUCGUGCUCCUCUCUGGCCUCCUGAUCUUUCAACUUGAAUUCUUCAGCAGUAACUUUACCAUUUCCAUCCCGGUCUUGAUUGGUGAACAUAUUUUUAACAAUUUUCUCAAAAUCAAAGCCAGGAGCUAGUUUUCCCUUGCCAGUAUCAACUUGAGUUUGGAUGUACUCUGAAAACUAAAAGGGGGGAAAAAGAGAAGAAAACAGCUCACAGUGAAAAGGAUAUUUGAAAAUGAAAAGCAUCCAGUAUUUUACUACUUAUUAAAUGUACAUAGGACACUGUUACUACCCUAUAAAGUUUACCACCCAAACUGAACUAAUUAGAACAGACACAUGAGGUUAAAUGACUCUUUGUGGAGCUCAGCAGGGAUUUCCUCACUCAUUCCAGUGGGUUUUGGACCCAUAACAAGGAAAGUUCUUUUUCA